CAACUUUGAAUUGAAUUGGAGAAACCUUUCGUUAGAAAGAGAAAAAAUAUUGCCACUGUAAGCAUAUUGAUAUAAUAAUAUGCUAAAAGAAGACAGAUAUGACAUUAAAAAAAGAAAAACUGAAAUUGAAGCCGCAAUUUGGCCAUUUUAUAAAAAAAUUGGCGCUUGAAGAGGAAAGGUUAUUUUUGGUUACAUUUUAUUAUUAAUAUUAAUUGAUUUUAAUUUUUAUGCAGGAGAUAUGUAAAAGUAUUCAAUUAAAAAGGCAAAAUCAACGCACAAAGACCGGGACUUGAUACAAAAGAAAAUGUGUUAGAUGCCUGGAUGCUGGGAUGGAAUUUCUUGAUAUGUUGUUAGCAGGUUUGCGUAAGGAGUAUCCAGUCCACACCCAACAUUGUUAAAAUAUAUACAUAUAUUUAGAAUAAGA